GUUUCUUAAUAAUCCUCUCUGUAUUGAAGCUGGCACUACUGUGCACUGUCUCCUAGUUAAAACCUUCUUUGUUUCUGAUUUUCUCCAUUUCUGUGAUGAACAAUCCCUAAACCCCAUCCCUAAUCUCACCUCACUGUAACAUAAAAAGGGCGUCAGGCGUCAGCUCAUCACACCACCACCGCCAGAAACAAACAGAGUUUCCUGAUCUUGCACCAUUAAAUUCAUGCUCUAACGCGCGCACAGGUACACCAAAACAGAAGAAAAGGGCAAAAACAUGGUUCGUUUCUUGCCUUUGCUUUCACUUAUUAUUCUCUAUCUCGCAAUCUCAAUCCCAGGUGUCAAUCCAUGGGAGGAGGAUUCAUCAGUCUACGAUGUUCUUAAGGACCAUGGGCUGCCCAUGGGCCUAUUCCCUAAGGGCGUUAAAGAUUUCACAAUCAAUGGUACGGGCCAUUUCUUGGUCCACUUGGAUCAGGCUUGCAACGCUAAGUUCGAGAGCGAAUUGCAUUACGAUAGGAAUGUUUCAGGGACUUUGAGCUACGGCCAGAUCGGGGCCUUGUCUGGAAUUUCUGCUCAGGAGUUGUUUUUGUGGUUUCCGGUCAAGGGUAUUCGGGUCGAUGUACCCAGUUCUGGUGUUAUUUAUUUCGAUGUUGGUGUUGUUUCUAAGCAGUUCUCGCUUUCUUUGUUCGAGACGCCGAGAGAUUGUCUGGCGGUUCGAGAUGGGCAAGCGGAGGCGAUUGAGUCUGGAAGGCUUAUUGCUGAGGCUGUGUCCAAGAGUCAACUUGGGGAGUUAAGAUAUCAACUUGAUCAAGAGAAUUUUGGGAGGGUUGUUCUGUAGAGUGCAUGGGAGAAAGUUAUUUAAGGCGUGUCAUAGCUUAAUGAGCUCAUGGGUUCUCUAUUUUCACCUUGUAAAUUUCAUAAGAGAUUCUGCUUUAGCAGGUCAAUGCUUCCAUUCAGUGUGUUUGCCCUUUUUUUUUUGUUUUUUGUUUUUUUUUUUUUUUUUUCCAUAUAGUGCAGAAUAUGGAACCAACUUCGCAGAGCUGGCUCUUGUCUAUGCAUGGAUGCCCUAUGAACGACCUUGAGAGGAUAAAUUAGGGAGGCAACAGCAUGAUCAUGAAAGGCUAACUAGUGGUUGAGGUGAUUCAGGUGUAAUCCUCAACACUGUCAGAGAAUUUGAGCAGAGGAAUUGAGUAGGCAUAUUUAUUGAAGUUGAUUUCUGAAGUGAGAUUUAGCUGUCUUUUCUCCUAAACUCCAUUUUUUCUUAAUCUUUUUUCUUUUUUGGGAGAACGGGAUGGGAGCAUAGGAUUGGAGGGAUUGUGGCUAGACGGGAUGGUGAUAAUUUACUUUAGGAUUUUGGAUUUGAUUCAGGAAUUGCUGAAUUUAUGAUAGGCAAUCAAACUAUAUUGUGCAUCAUUGGAGCCUGGUGAGAAAUUUAUGGAAGUUGAAUUUCAGGUGCAA